rnacentral:rRNA from 1 species
GACGAACGCUGGCGGCGUGCCUAAUACAUGCAAGUCGAACGCAGUGGGGACGGUUGAUUAACACGUGGGUAACCUCCCAUCAGAGGGGAUAACACUUGGAAACAGGUGCUAAACCCCUACGGAUUGAUGGACCCGCGGGGCAUUAGCUAGUUGGUGCGGUAACGGCUCACCAAGGCCACGAGGCAUAGCCGACCUGAGAGGAUGAUCGGCCACACUGUGACUGAGACACGGCCCAGACUCCUACGGGAGGCAGCAGUGGGGAAUCUUCGGCAAUGGACGAAAGUCUGACCGAGCAACGCCGCGUGAGUGAAGAAGGUUUUCGGAUCGUAAAGCUCUGUUGUUAGAGAAGCGGUAUCUAACCAGAAAGCCACGGCUAACUACGUGCCAGCAGCCGCGGUAAUUC